rnacentral:rRNA from 3 species
CGUCAGCUCGUGUUGUGAAAUGUUGGGUUAAGUCCCGCAACGAGCGCAACCCUUAUCCUUUGUUGCCAGCGAUUAGGUCGGGAACUCAAAGGAGACUGCCAGUGAUAAACUGGAGGAAGGUGGGGAUGACGUCAAGUCAUCAUGGCCCUUACGACCAGGGCUACACACGUGCUACAAUGGCGCAUACAAAGAGAAGCGACCUCGCGAGAGCAAGCGGACCUCAUAAAGUGCGUCGUAGUCCGGAUUGGAGUCUGCAACUCGACUCCAUGAAGUCGGAAUCGCUAGUAAUCGUGGAUCAGAAUGCCACGGUGAAUACGUUCCCGGGCCUUGUACACACCGCCCGUCACACCAUGGGAGUGGGUUGCAAAAGAAGUAGGUAGCUUAACCUUCGGGAGGGCGCUUACCACUUUGUGAUUCAUGACUGGGGUGAAGUCGUAACAAGGUAACCGUAGGGGAACCUGCGGUUGGA